GGGGGCGAAACGGCUUCGACGGGGAUAACGAAGCACCGGCUGCAUACCGAGGUGCCUAUCCGCUCGUAAAACGGUGGGAUUUAACAUAAUCGCAGACGAUUAUGAAUUAGCCCUGGCCGCUUAAUCAGGCCAGCGUCCUUCAGGAUUAUUCCUGUGAAUCCUGAAAGGACGUCGACUAACAGGAUAGUCUUUUCUCACUCUACCCACGGUAGAAAAGGCGAAUUUCAGUGGGUAAGCUUUCAAAAACCCCGGUCCGGAGGGGAUUUGAAAGACGAAAAUCAAAAUCCGGGAUAAGUAUGUAGACGCCUGUGUGGAAUAUUUUCGGACGCGGGUUCGACUCCCGCCGCCUCCACCA
rnacentral:tmRNA from 1 species